CGUAGGGUGCAAGCGUUAAUCGGAAUUACUGGGCGUAAAGCGUGCGCAGGCGGUUGAGGAAGACCGAUGUGAAAUCCCCGGGCUUAACCUGGGAAUGGCAUUGGUGACUGCACGGCUAGAGUGUGUCAGAGGGGGGUAGAAUUCCACGUGCAGCAGUGAAAUGCGUAGAGAUGUGGAGGAAUACCGAUGGCGAAGGCAAUCCCCUGGGCCUGCACUGACGCUCAUGCACGAAAGCGUGGGGAGCAAACAGG
rnacentral:rRNA from 1 species